GACGAACGCUGGCGGCGUGCCUAAUACAUGCAAGUCGAGCGCAGGAAACUGACGGAACUCUUCGGAGGGAAGGCAGUGGAAUGAGCGGCGGACGGGUGAGUAACACGUAAGGAACCUGCCUCAAGGAUUGGGAUAACUCCGAGAAAUCGGAGCUAAUACCGGAUAGUUCAUCGGACCGCAUGGUCCGUUGAUGAAAGGCGCUUCGGCGUCACCUUGAGAUGGCCUUGCGGUGCAUUAGCUAGUUGGUGGGGUAACGGCCCACCAAGGCGACGAUGCAUAGCCGACCUGGGAGGGUGAGCGGCCACACUGGGACUGAGACACGGCCCAGACUCCUACGGGAGGCAGCAGUAGGGAAUCUUCCACAAUGGACGAAAGUCUGAUGGAGCAACGCCGCGUGAGUGAUGAAGGUUUUCGGAUCGUAAAACUCUGUUGUAAGGGAAGAACACGUACGAGAGGAAAUGCUCGUACCUUGACGGUACCUUACGAGAAAGCCACGGCUAACUACGUGCCAGCCGCCGCGGUAAAAC
rnacentral:rRNA from 1 species